rnacentral:rRNA from 1 species
AACGAACGCUGGCGGCAUGCCUAACACAUGCAAGUCGAACGAGUGCCUUCGGGUGCUAGUGGCGCACGGGUGCGUAACGCGUGGGAAUCUGCCCUUGGGUUCGGAAUAACCGUUGGAAACGACGGCUAAUACCGGAUGAAGUCGAUAAGACCAAAGAUUUAUCGCCUGAGGAUGAGCCCGCGUAGGAUUAGCUAGUUGGUGUGGUAAGAGCGCACCAAGGCGACGAUCCUUAGCUGGUCUGAGAGGAUGAUCAGCCACACUGGGACUGAGACACGGCCCAGACUCCUACGGGAGGCAGCAGUGGGGAAUAUUGGACAAUGGGCGCAAGCCUGAUCCAGCAAUGCCGCGUGAGUGAUGAAGGCCUUAGGGUUGUAAAGCUCUUUUACCCGGGAUGAUAAUGACAGUACCGGGAGAAUAAGCUCCGGCUAACUCCGUGCCAGCAGCCGCCGUAA